rnacentral:miRNA from 10 species
UUUCAGACAAAAGAUAAAUUAUUUUUAGCAUAAGUAGGUCUCAAAUAUUGCGUGGGACAUACUUAUACUAAAAUACAAUAGUUAAACAACUAUCUGAAAUUAAAAUUUAACUAGGUGUCCUGUAUU